rnacentral:lncRNA from 1 species
AUGUAUGUACUAAUGUUCCUUUUACCUUUACUUUUUCAGGUCCAAUUCUUCAUGAUUCCACAAAACGGAUUCUUGUUCCUUUUGUUCUUCGAUUUCUACAAAAAAGCUUACAUGAAUAAAAAACCUGAAGAUAUGAAAAUUUCGAAUGGAAAAGUUGCAAAUGGAAAAGUUACUGAAAAUGGAACCACGAAUAAAAUUGAAAACGGAUUUAAUAAAAGCAACGGGUCAACGGAGAAAAUUGAAAACGGAUUUUAUAAGAAGUCGAAUGAAAAAAUUGAAAAUGGAUUUUACCCGGAUAUUGCACUAAGGAAAGUCAUCGAAAAUGGGAAAAUGCCCAGUAAAGUUGCUUAAACUGAAGUUCCUUCUGAACUUUACACUUUUAUAACUACUUUCAAAUUUGGAGUAAAUACUCCCUCAAUGUUAUACCCUGAAGCCCACUCCAAUUUGGUUAAAUUUUCAACAAACGUUCCUCCAUGCCGUUUGGCAAGUUCUAUUCAAUACGUUUCCAGAAUACUAAUUUUUUGCACUGUAUUUAUAUCGUGGAGCAAUGGGGCUCAGUAUAAAUAUGGUAUCAAAAUUGCAAAAAUCCUUCUGUCGUUCUUUUUUAAAAAAAAAAUUGCAACCGAUGAGAAGUUUGAAACUCAUCACAUAAUGUACAUGUGAGUGACUUCUUUAACAUUCGUAGAAUAAAAAAGUAAUGACUGAUGGUGUUAACCAUUCAUGAAAAUUUUGAGUUUCAAUUAACGUUGAUUGUGAUUUUUUCAGUGCUUGAAGCUCAAACUUUUUGGCUCAUUUAUCAAAAGGAAUUUAAAGUGGCAACGUCUUAUUCAUAAAUUGUCAAAUGAUCCAGUCAUACAUUUGUAGUUCCAUCUCUUAUGUUUUAAAUUAGCUUGAAAAUAAGAUAAGUCUUCAACAUGAUGUUCAAAAAAGAGGUAGAUUCCAAAGAAAUGAUAGGGAUUUAAUUGACAAGAAUUUUCUGUCUGAUAUGUGCAAACAUAUCAAUAAAUUUUUCCUACGCAAUGGAGCUUCAUUCAGAAAGUUGAAAAGGUCACCGAUGGGUAUAUGCUGGUCUUGACAAGUUUUGUUCAGAAAAUAAUUCUGACCUUUUCGCAUACCUUCAGACAGAGUUAAAAAUGUGCGCACGUGUGUAAUUUUAAUACCAGUUGUGUUGAAACAUCAUCUUCGGCAUGAGUUACCGCACGAACAAAAAUAUCUGUAAAUUCAACGAACUUUUCGAGUUGAAUAUUGGUUCUCCUCAGUUUGAUAUACUGUGUAGUGAAAUGUUUCCUUCCUUUAUUUAUACCUCUUUCUUAAUGCUGUUUUUUGAUGUUUCUUCUAUUUAUUUCCUUUUCUCUUUUCCUUCAUAGUGGUAGUUUUAUCCGCCAGAGUUUCCUUAAACUCGGAAUUUUGGACAUAAUUUGGUCAUUUUUCUUUCGUUCGAAGUGUCUAAUUGACAGAUCUCCACCUGUCCAAUUAUGAAACAAUAUGAAUGUCAAAUAUUUUGGAACUCAAACUUAGAUGUGAUAAUUUGCUUUUUAAUUUUGUUGUUUUGUACUAAAUUAAAGGAACAGCUAGUAAUAAUGAAAAGGACAAACGUUACCAUUGCCUGAUCGAUUUACAUCUGUAAUCGACUCCUCGUAUCAGAGGUAAAAAUAAUGACUAUUACAUAAAAUCUGAGUUCAUAAUGGUUAAACAUCUUGGCAACUCUCGAAAUAUUCCAGUGUGGACAUAUGUUCUUAUGUGAUACUAACGCUAUACACACAUAUGUUCCUCUUCUUAUAGAUAUUCACUUACUGACUUUUGCAUUUUUGUAUUUUUUUCAUGUAUCUUUAUCAUAUUUUGGCAAAAUCUUAGUCAAAAAAUUAUAUGUACCUCUUCAUGACGUUGCCCAUUUGAGAAUGAGAUGUUUUCAAAAAUCUCAAGUUUUGGGAUUUUUGAAUGAUACCAAUUGCAAGUUAAAACAGAUGCCAUUUUGAAUUUAAAACCAGAGUAAAUAUAGUUUUUAGAUCUCAGAUAUUUUACUUUGUAUUUAUUUUUGCGCAUCGAUGAGAUCAUACGGAAAUCUAAGGAAUAUAAAAUUUAAUGAUAAAAACUUAAAUUAAGAAUGGUUAAACAUGUUUUAGAUGUUAUCUUAGGGACCACUGGAUGUAAAUAGUAUUUUUCACAAAGUAAUAAAAAUUUAAAUUAUGCAAAAAAUAUAUUGAAGUGUAUUUAUUUUGUACAUUGAAUUUAGCUCGGUUUUAUGAAAUGAACAGAUAUGAGUGCUCGUAUUAGAGAAGUGCUUGUUUCUUCUAUGCAAAUUUAUAUUAAUCCGCAAAUCUGUGAGAAUCUACUCGUAGAUUAUUGAAAUGUCAAGCUUGAAACAGUUAAAUAGUUAAUUACGUUUUACAGCAUUUUUCCCUGCCAUGGUUAAAGGCAGAGAGGCUAAAGGAAAGAUAUACCUAUACAUAGUGCACAGGAAAAACGCCGUAACUCCAAUCACGACUUUUCACUGUUCUUCCACACAUACUGUUCUAUUACGAGAAAACCUGAUCACCAUGAUGCUUCAUUUUAUAAAUUUAAAAUCCCAAUGGUUAUAAUGGUUGUGCCACAGUUACUUCAGAAUUAAGAGGGAUACAUGGUCAUUGGUUUUUCGGUAGUAAAC